GAGCGGUUGACAGAGAGCUGGUCUCUUCGAUUUGACGAGUGACGGACGGGUGAUGAAUGUCUGGCAGACUGCCUGAGGGAGGGGGAUUACUACUGGGAACGGUAACUCCUACCGCAUCCCGUCGCAGAACCAAAGUGGGGUACCUUCCUUGCUCAUGCCAAUGAAUGUGCCCAGAUGGGAUUAGCUGGUGGGUGGGGGAACGGCUCACCUAACCAACCAUCCCUGGCUGGUCUGAAAGGAUGACCACCCUGACUGGAACUGACACACGGUCCUCACUCCUACGGGAGGCAUGGGGAAUAAAUAUUGCACAAUGGAAAGCAAGCCUGAUGCAUGCAUGCCGUGUGUAUGAAGUCUUCCUUCUGGUUGUAACUUACUUUUGGGAGGAGGAAGGCGUUGAGGUUCCAACCUGUUUUGUUGACGUUACUCAAUAAACAAGCACCGGCUAACUCCGUGCCAGCGCCGCGGUCAUACGGGUGGUGCAAGCGUUAAUAAUUAAUUGCUGGGCGUAAAGCCCACGCUGGCUUGCUGUUAAGUAUGAUGUGAAAUCCCCGGCCUCCUGCUGACUGCUGCCUUUGAUGCUGGGCUGCUUGACUCUUGAAGAUGGUGGAAUAAUUCGUGGUGUAGCGAAGAAAUGCGAUAAGAUCUGGAACAAUACUGGUGAAGAAGACCACCCCCUGUGAUACUGACGACGCUCAGGUGCGAAAUCGUGAGGAGCAAAC
rnacentral:rRNA from 1 species